AUUGAACGCUGGCGGCAUGCCUUACACAUGCAAGUCGAACGGCAGCGGGGGAGAAGCUUGCUUUUCUGCCGGCGAGUGGCGAACGGGUGAGUAAUACAUCGGAACGUGCCCUGUAGUGGGGGAUAACUAGUCGAAAGAUUAGCUAAUACCGCAUACGACCUGAGGGUGAAAGGGGGGGACCGCAAGGCCCCAUGCUAGAGGAGCGGCCGAUGUCUGAUUAGCUAGUUGGUGGGGUAAAGGCCUACUAAGGCGACGAACAGUAGCUGGUCUGAGAGGACGAUCAGCCACACUGGGACUGAGACACGGCCCAGACUCCUACGGGAGGCAGCAGUGGGGAAUUUUGGACAAUGGGCGAAAGCCUGAUCCAGCAAUGCCGCGUGUGUGAAGAAGGCCUUCGGGUUGUAAAGCACUUUUGUCCGGAAAGAAAUGGCUCUGGUUAAUACCUGGGGUCGAUGACGGUACCGGAAGAAUAAGGACCGGCUAACUACGUGCCAGCAGCCGCCGUAA
rnacentral:rRNA from 1 species